rnacentral:rRNA from 1 species
AUUGAACGCUGGCGGCAGGCCUAACACAUGCAAGUCGAACGAGUGGCGGACGGGUGAGUAAUGUCUGGGAAACUGCCUGAUGGAGGGGGAUAACUACUGGAAACGGUAGCUAAUACCGCAUACCAUCGGAUGUGCCCAGAUGGGAUUAGCUAGUAGGUGGGGUAAAGGCUAACCUAGGCGACGAUCCCUAGCUGGUCUGAGAGGAUGACGAGCCACGAUGGAACUGAGACACGGUCCAGACUCCUACGGGAGGCAGCAGUGGGGAAUAUUGCACAAUGGGCGCAAGCCUGCUGCAGCCAUGCCGCGUGUAUGAAGAAGGCCUUCGGGUUGGAAAGUACUUUCAGCGGGGAGGCGUUACCCGCAGAAGAAGCACCGGCUAACGCCGUGCCAGCAGCCGCGGUAAUUC